CGCAGACACACUGUUUGCUACUUGUGCCCCCAAUGCUCUGAAAUGAAAAUAAAUUAUGUGCUGCCUGUGGCCCCAUAAGCAUGGCCGCUCAUUGCACUUCUUUUCUCUCUGGAUCCAGAAGCUAUUGUAUUGGUCCACAUCAGCCUAUGUGUUGUCCUUUCUGUUUUGCCCACUGCCCUUGACCGGUCCUCUUUCUCUUGCCUGUUUGUGUGCUGACACUGCUCAUCCUGACACAUACUGCUGUGGACACGUGGUGCCAACAUGCCCAGCUCCAACCCAACCCGACGUUAUGCCAUGCACCACUGGAGGCUCCUGAAUCCAAUGUAACCAGCUCCAGUGCGUGCUGAGGUCUGUGUACAGUUAAAAAUCCAGUUAAUGACCUAUAAAGCAGGGAUAAGCAAAGUCGGUCCUGCAGUGCUGCUGCACAGAAGAUUUAAGAUCCGACCUCAAUCAAACACACCUGAACAAGCUAAUCUGUGUCUUCAGGAUUACCAAACCCACAGGCAGGAGACUUUUUUCCAGGGUUGGAGCUAAAAUCUGCAGGACAGCGGCACUCCAGGACCGUUGUUGCCUACCCCGCUAUAAGGCAUUAAAUGGAUUAGCACCUCAUUCAGAAACACUCAGUCAUUUUAAGUCUAGAAUAAAAUAUCUCUUAAACCAAGCAUAUACCUAAUUAACUGCCCAAAUGAAUUUAUGCCACAAUAAUUAGCUUAAUCUGAACGAAACAUAGGUUUAAUUUACUGUUCAUCCUUUAUAUUAAGUUGUAUGGCCUGAACACUAAUGCCAGUUUGUUUUUCUCUCCAUGUCUCAUCCCUGGAUUCACGGGGACUCCUGAGGCUGCAAACCAGCUCCAACCCAGCCUGAUGUAUUAAAUGUUCUUCCAUGCACCGGCGAGGGGACCGGGGCCCGCAGGCAAGCUCCAUUCCAGACUGAUGCUCAUCCCUGCACUGCCAUGGACUGAUGAUGCCAACAGACCCUGCCUCGUUUUUCUUUAUAUCUAUGCUAUAUACUUAUUUGAUCUAUUUUUACUACAUUUUUGUGAAGCUGCUUUGCAACAAUGCAAAUUUUGAAUUGAGUAAAAUGUUGAAGUUAAAACUAUAACAAUGUCUGGAACAAUAUAGCACACAACAUAAAAUUGAUCUGUUUUACAAUUACCAAACAAGUAAAAAUAUAUCAAAUGUAAUAUAUAAAUACAAAAUAUAAAUUAUGAAUAUAUGUAAUUGUGAUAUUAUUAUAUAUAACAUUAUGAAACUAUAUAUUAUAAUAUUAUAUGUAAAAAUAUAAUAUGUCUGCUCUUUGAAAGUUCCACGUUGCAUUUAAAAAGUACAAAUACUGUAGAACCUGCUGUCAUGGAAUAAAGGUUAGGAUAGGUUUUAAGGUCAUCACUAAUACAUCAGCUUGGAAUAGCAUACAACACCUGUCUCCUAAGUCUUGUUUAGCUAAGAGCAGGAGGAAAAUUGUAUUGUUGUACAAAUUUAAAAUAUCUGUAUUUAAUGCUUGUAAUGUCAAUGUACUGUAUAAUCUUUAAACAACCGCGUGGUUCUUCACCUGUUUAAAAACAGGCAGCGGCCUGUAAAUAGCAAUAAAUAGCAAUAUGCAAAGUAUUGAAGAAGCAGUAGAAGUGAAAAUAGCAGUAUUUCUUAGCGAUUUGCUAUUUACACAAACAAAAAAUAGCUGUAUUUUCUUUGGAUUAAGAUAACGUUACUAUUUGCACCUCAGUAUUGUUGUGUAUUAAACAUUAUGCAAUUAUAACAGAGUGUAAAUUAUUAUAUUUAUAAAAAAUAUUAAAAUGAUGGCAACUCAUUGCGAUAUGAAAGGCCUACACCAACCCCUAACCUUACACUGUAUGAAUAAAAAUGAAUUUUAAGUGUUAAAUCAAUUUUAUUGAAAACAAAAGCCUUUUUAAAGUAAUAGAAUAAGAUUAAAGAGUGUCUUCAAAGAGAGGUGGAUUAGAACCCCGAUCUCCUAUACAGACCUUACACCAUACGCCACUGGGCAGCCUUUUGGUUGGAUGUGUUAAAACAAGCCCUUUGUCUCACUGAACGCGACAUCUGCAGCUUCACACACUCGUCUGCCUGAACAUCACACCUGCGUCUACUUCAAGUGUGGAAUGAUAUUGCACACUGUAAAUUAAAUUACACAAGUUUUCAGUACAACCAGUUUAAUAUUUUUAUAUUGACAUUACAUGUAAAGUUAUUAAAAGAAAGUAAACGUAUUCUUUCUUUUUAGAAUUGUAAAUCAAAGUUUGAGUAUCUCGUAUUAAUUUGUCUGA